AUUGAACGCUGGCGGCAGGCCUAACACAUGCAAGUCGAACGGUAACAGGAAGCAGCUUGCUGCUUUGCUGACGAGUGGCGGACGGGUGAGUAAUGUCUGGGAAACUGCCCGAUGGAGGGGGAUAACUACUGGAAACGGUAGCUAAUACCGCAUAACGUCGCAAGACCAAAGAGGGGGACCUUAGGGCCUCUUGCCAUCGGAUGUGCCCAGAUGGGAUUAGCUAGUAGGUGGGGUAACGGCUCACCUAGGCGACGAUCCCUAGCUGGUCUGAGAGGAAGACCAGCCACACUGGAACUGAGACACGGUCCAGACUCCUACGGGAGGCAGCAGUGGGGAAUAUUGCACAAUGGGCGCAAGCCUGAUGCAGCCAUGCCGCGUGUAUGAAGAAGGCCUUCGGGUUGUAAAGUACUUUCAGCGGGGAGGAAGGGAGUAAAGUUAAUACCUUUGCUCAUUGACGUUACCCGCAGAAGAAGCACCGGCUAACUCCGUG
rnacentral:rRNA from 1 species